UUGGGGCCGGGACUGGUCUUGCUGGCGGGUGGGUGAGGGUUCCGGUGAGGGAGGAGUCGCUGAUUGUGUUCUCCCUCUGCGUUUUCUCCUGCUGGCCCCGUCGGGGGUGUGGAAAUGCCGGGUCCAGCUCCCACUCUUCCGCCUGCCUGGGUCUGGCCUGGAGAUGGCAAGUCCUUCUCAGGACAUCUCAGCCAGGCUUGGGGUAACCCCUCCCCCCUUUUUUGGGCUCUGUGCCUCACAUUUUGUCGCAGGGAGCUCCUUAGCUCACCCCCCAUCGUUUCCAUCUUCUUCCCUGGUCCCCUAGGGCGCUUCAACGAGAAGAGUGUGUGAGAGUUGCCUGUAGCUGACAGCAACAGCGCAUUUCCCUAGACCAGGCACUGGGCUUUAUCCACGAUCUCGUUCAAGCUUUGAGGUCGUUCUUGAAGCAAUUUAGGAUUACAGAAAAAUUGCGAAGAUGGUGGAGCGUUCGCAUGUCUCCCACGCCCAGUUUCCCCGUUAUUGACGUCUUCCACUACCGGGCGUGUCUGCACAGUCAAUGAGCCAAGACUGCUAAGUCAUUAUUACUCACGUCCAUAUUUGAUUCAGUCUUCCUGAGUGCUUGCCCGGUGUCCUUUCUCUGUUCCGGGAUCCCACAUUCUAUGGAGUCAUCGCAUCUCCUGACGUCCCUCUUGGAUGUGACAGUUUCUUGGACUUCCCUUGCUUUUGAUGACUGACCAUUUUGAGGAGCGCUUGGCCAGCAUUUUGAGGAAUGUCCCUCAAUUGGGGUUUAUCUGAUGUUUUUCUCUUGACUAGACUAGGGUUAUGGAUUUUUGGGAGGAAGAGCACAGAGAUUGAGUGCCCUUCUCAUGACGUCAUAUCAAGGGUACAUGCUGUCGACAUGCUUAUCACUGCCGAUGUUGACCUUGGUCACCCGCCCAGACAGUGUCUGCCAGCUGUCUCCUCCGGCAGGAGACUCUCCCGCUCUCCUUUUCCACACUCCCCCUUUGGAGGGAAGGUCACCGUGUGCUGUCCGCACUUAAGGAGCGGGGGUCGUGUGCCACUUCCUUGGGAGGAGCCACACAGAUUAUCUGGAAUCUUAUGCAGGAGAUUUGUCUCUUCUUCCUGUUUAUUAAUUUGUGCAAUAAUUCACAUCACUAUGGA